CCGAGUGGCGAACGGGUGAGUAACACGUGGGUGAUCUGCCCUGCACUUCGGGAUAAGCCUGGGAAACUGGGUCUAAUACCGGAUAGGACGAUGGUUUGGAUGCCAUUGUGGAAAGUUUUUCGGUGUGGGAUGAGCUCGCGGCCUAUCAGCUUGUUGGUGGGGUAAUGGCCUACCAAGGCGUCGACGGGUAGCCGGCCUGAGAGGGUGUACGGCCACAUUGGGACUGAGAUACGGCCCAG
rnacentral:rRNA from 1 species